UGUGCUCUACCGAUCUGUCUAAUGUGGGUCCACAGGGCUGCCUUACUUCUGGAGCCUUUAGAGGAGAAUGCAUUUCCUUGCCUUUUGGAGUGACUAGAGGCCACACAUACUCUUUGGCUCAUGGUCCAUUUCUCCAUCUUUAAAGCCAAUAACAUGGUAUCUUUUCUCCUCUGUGACCUGUUUCCAUCCUCACAUUUCUCUCUGAUUUUGACCUUCCAGUGUCCUUCUUAUAAGGAUCCUUGUGAUUACAUUGUCCCACCUGGAUAAUCCAGAAUAAUCUACCAAUCUCAACAUCUUUAUAUUUAUCACAUCUGCAAAGACCCCUUUGCCAUGUAAGGUGGCAUGUUUAUAGAUUCCAGGGAUUAGGUUGUGAAUAUGUUGGGGAGCGGGGCACUAUUUAGCUCACCACAGAGCAUUUUGAAUAAACCUGCCAUGUACAUUCAUCUACAUGUCUUUUGGUAAAAAUAUUCUGCAUUUCUCUUGGGUAUAUACUGAAGAAUGGAAUUGCUGAGUUAUAGAGUAUAAACAUGUUUAGCUUUAGAUUCUGCAAAAAUGGUUUUUCAAAGUGGUGCUAAGUUACCUUCCUCCCCAGCAGCACAUGAGAGAUCCAGUUGACCCACAACCUCUCUAACACUUAGUGUUGAUAUUUAACCAUUGUAAGAUACAGAGGUAUCUCAUUGUAAUUUUAAUUUGCACGUCAUUGAUGACCGCUGAGGUUGAACAGUUUCUCAUAUAUUUAUUGGUCAUUUAGAUAUCCUCUCUUGUGAAGCUUUUUUUUAGUCUUUUGCCCAUUUUUCUAUUUGGUUGUCUUUUUCUUAUCGAUUUGUAGGAGUUCUGUAUAUAUUUUGGAUCCAAGCUCUUUGUCAUGUAUAUGUGCAGUAAAUAACUUUUCCCCCUCUGUGGUUUGUCUUUUUAAUCUUUUAAUGGUAUCUUUAAUGCAUAGAAAUUACUGAUUUUAAGGUAGUACAAUGUCUACAAGAAAUCUCAAGAAAAAAAAUUAAAUAUUUUGAACUGAAUGAAAAUAAAAAUACAACAUAACUAAAUUUAUGGAGUGAACCUAACGCAGGGCUUCAAGGAAAUUUUAUAGUACUAACUUUUGGCAUUGUUGAUUUUAUUGAUUAUAAGUUUGUUUUCUAUCUUACUAAUUUUUGUUUUUUUAAUUUCCUUCUUUUUACUGUUAGAUUUGAUUUUCUGUUUCCUAAAUUCUUUAGAUUUUUAAAUUGUUGCUUUUUCAGCUUUUAAAAUUUUUCUAAUAUAUGCAUAUUAAAGGUAUAAAUGGCCUC